rnacentral:misc_RNA from 1 species
CAGGCUUGCAAAAGCUCUGAAACCAAUGUUUAUCUACCUGAAUCUGCUUCGGCGGGCGGCCCCAGGGCGGGGCCAUUGCCGCAAGGCGCCCGCCGAAGACCCCUAAACUCUGUCGUCUUGAGAAUCUCUGAGUAUCAUAUUAAACAAAAAAA